rnacentral:rRNA from 1 species
AAUGAACGCUGGCGGCAGGCCUAACACAUGCAAGUCGAACGAAGCCUUCGGGCUUAGUGGCGGACGGGUGAGUAACGCGUGGGAACGUGCCCCUUGGUACGGAAUAGCCCCGGGAAACUGGGAGUAAUACCGUAUGUGGUCGAGAGACGAAAGAUUUAUCGCCAAGGGAUCGGCCCGCGUUGGAUUAGGUAGUUGGUGGGGUAAUGGCUUACCAAGCCGACGAUCCAUAGCUGGUUUGAGAGGAUGAUCAGCCACACUGGGACUGAGACACGGCCCAGACUCCUACGGGAGGCAGCAGUGGGGAAUCUUAGACAAUGGGGGAAACCCUGAUCUAGCCAUGCCGCGUGAUCGAUGAAGGCCUUAGGGUUGUAAAGAUCUUUCAGAUGGGAAGAUAAUGACGGUACCAUCAGAAGAAGCCCCGGCUAACUCCGUGCCAGCCGCCGCUGUAA